rnacentral:lncRNA from 1 species
UCAAUUAUAAUUACUGAAGUUGUCGCCUAACUUUAUCAGCAAAAAUGCGAAUGCCACCUCUUACAUCCAAAGAUAGAGGUUUUUUCACAGAUCCGCCCUGGUCUAUUAAGUAUUAUAAUAAUAAUAGUCUCCCGUUUUAUACCGCUAAGGCGGUUUUGGGAUUAUAGUAGGAUAGUCUGCUAUAUCUAGGGCCUACGGUAUACAAAGAAGGUAACAGGGCCAGUGCUAUGCUUCAACCGCCUAUUAUUACCCCUGGUUUUACCUAAGGUACUCAUUUUAUUCUGGCUGAGUCGACCUGGGGCCUAUAGACAUUUAAAAAUGUCUAGAUGUUCUCGCCGGCGCUGGGUUUCAAACCUUGGCCUACCUGCGUGGAAGACAGACAUACUACCGCCUAAGCUAUCCGGGCCCUAAAUAUUAUAUAUUUUAUUAUUAUUUGAAUAUAAAGAUUUUAUAAAAAGCAUUGGGUACGCGGUACGAUAUCGACCCUUUUGCGAUAUUGCUUGAUAAUCUCGUACUUUGUUAAAAUAUUUGCAACUUCUCGUUAAGGACAAUAUAUCAAAUACAUUAGAAAAUUUAAGCUAUUGUCCCUGCUACUUCUAAAGUUGACAUUAAGCUAGUAUCAUUGUCCCUCUUGUGCCAAAACAAACACAAAAUAUUUAUACUCGGUUCACUGAUCCCAGUCCCAACUGUUUAGUAAAUAUAGUAAUAAUUUUUUUGUUACUAAUUACAUAAUAGGUUUUUGCCUUGGCCCGCUCCAGGAUCAGCUUCCAUUCCUUCCUAUUCCUCGCCUUGGUUUUCAAAUUUCGUACUGUUAACACCAAGUAUUCUUCCAAAUGGUCCUUACGUCGUGCGCUGAGCCUGCCUCUCCUCACUCCAUCCGUUCUUUGUUUAUAAAUGCGUUUCGGAGGCUCCACCUCGUUUAUUCUCUCUAUGUGGUCUAGAACCUUAUUCUGUUUACUUUGAUGAAUCUAGAAUAUCAGGUCCACUAUAGAGGCGGUAAAGCCCAACAUUACAGCUAACUAUAUAUGUAUACCCUUUUAAGCAAAUAAAUGUGGUGUUUGGAUGAAAAAUAUAGGUUGAAGAUAGAUGACGACUUAGUAAAAUUAAUGGCAUUUCACACUCGUUUACGUUGUUAUUGUCCGUUUAUUAUUCUAUUCUUACAGCGCUUUUGCCUUUCAAAGUCUUUCUUAUUUCGAAUUGUAUCCAAGGGCAUUGUAUUAAACGUUAAUUUGCAAAAAAA